GAUGAACGCUGGCGGCGUGCCUAACACAUGCAAGUCGCGGGAGAAUUCCCUUCGGGGGAGGAAACCGGCGCACGGGUGAGUAACACGUAGCUUAUCUGCCCCUUAGAGGUGGAUAACCUUUGGAAACAGAGGCUAAUACACCAUAAGCUCACGAUUUCUAGAGGAUUGUGAGAAAGGUUCAGGCGCUAAGGGAUGAGGCUGCGAGCCAUCAGCUAGUUGGUGAGGUAAAGGCUUACCAAGGCGACGACGGCUAGGGGACCUGAGAGGGUGACCCCCCACACUGGAACUGAGAAACGGUCCAGACUUCUACGGAAGGCAGCAGUGAGGAAUAUUGCACAAUGGGCGCAAGCCUGAUGCAGCGACGCCGCGUGGGUGAAGAAGGAUUUCGGUCUGUAAAGCCCUUUUCUGUGUGACGAGAGUGGACGGUAGCACAGGAAUAAGUCUCGGCUAACUACGUGC
rnacentral:rRNA from 1 species